AAUAGAUACCCUGGUAGUCCACGCCGUAAACGAUGAGUGCUAAGUGUUAGAGGGUUUCCGCCCUUUAGUGCUGCAGCUAACGCAUUAAGCACUCCGCCUGGGGAGUACGGCCGCAAGGCUGAAACUCAAAGGAAUUGACGGGGGCCCGCACAAGCGGUGGAGCAUGUGGUUUAAUUCGAAGCAACGCGAAGAACCUUACCAGGUCUUGACAUCCUCUGCCAACCCUAGAGAUAGGGCGUUCCCCUUCGGGGGACAGAGUGACAGGUGGUGCAUGGUUGUCGUCAGCUCGUGUCGUGAGAUGUUGGGUUAAGUCCCGCAACGAGCGCAACCCUUGAUCUUAGUUGCCAGCAUUCAGUUGGGCACUCUAAGGUGACUGCCGGUGACAAACCGGAGGAAGGUGGGGAUGACGUCAAAUCAUCAUGCCCCUUAUGACCUGGGCUACACACGUGCUACAAUGGAUGGUACAAAGAGCUGCGAACCCGUGAGGGUAAGCGAAUCUCAUAAAGCCAUUCUCAGUUCGGAUUGU
rnacentral:rRNA from 1 species